GACGAACGCUGGCGGCGUGCUUAACACAUGCAAGUCGAACGGAAAGGCCCUGCUUUUGUGGGGUGCUCGAGUGGCGAACGGGUGAGUAACACGUGAGUAACCUGCCCUUGACUUUGGGAUAACUUCAGGAAACUGGGGCUAAUACCGGAUAGGAGCUCCUGCUGCAUGGUGGGGGUUGGAAAGUUUCGGCGGUUGGGGAUGGACUCGCGGCUUAUCAGCUUGUUGGUGGGGUAGUGGCUUACCAAGGCUUUGACGGGUAGCCGGCCUGAGAGGGUGACCGGCCACAUUGGGCCUGCGAGACGGCCCAGACUCCUACGGGAGGCAGCAGUGGGGAAUAUUGCACAAUGGGCGGAAGCCUGAUGCAGCAACGCCGCGUGCGGGAUGCCGGCCUUCGGGUUGUAAACCGCUUUCGCCUGUGACGAAGCGUGAGUGACGGUAAUGGGUAAAGAAGCACCGGCUAACUACGUG
rnacentral:rRNA from 1 species